rnacentral:rRNA from 1 species
UACGGCUCAGUAACACGUGGAUAACCUACCCAAUAGUCCGGGAUAACCCCGGGAAACUGGGGAUAAUACCGGAUAGAUCAUCUUGGCUGGAAGGCGGGGUGGUUGAAACUUCCGGGGCUUUUGGAUGGGUCUGCGGCUGAUUAGGUUGUUGCCGGUGUAACGUACCGUCAAGCCUGUAAUCAGUACGGGUUGUGGGAGCAAGAGCCCGGAGAUGGAUUCUGAGACACGAAUCCAGGCCCUACGGGGCGCAGCAGGCGCGAAAACUCUACAAUGCAGGCAACUGCGAUAGGGGAACAUCGAGUGGCGUCCAUAUUGGAUGUCUGUCCACCCGCCUAAAAAGCGGGUGUUAGCAAGGGCCGGGCAAGACCGGUGCCAGCCGCCGCGGUAAUACCGGCGGCUCGAGUGGUGGCCGAUAUUAUUGAGUCUAAAGGGUCCGUAGCCGGCUUUGCAAGUCUCUCGGGAAAUCCAGCGGCUUAACCGUUGGUCGUCCGGGGGGUACUACAUUGCUUGGGACUGGGAGAGGUAGGAGGUACCCAGGGGGUAGGAGUGAAAUCCUGUAAUCCUUUGGGGACCACCGGUGGCGAAGGCGUCCUACCAGAACAGGUCCGACGGUGAGGGACGAAAGCUAGGGGCACGAACCGGAUUAGAUACCCGGGUAGUCCUAGCCGUAAACGAUGCUCGCUAGGUGUCACAACAGUCGUGAACUGUUGUGGUGCCGUAGGGAAGCCGUGAAGCGAGCCACUUGGGAAGUACGACCGCAAGGUUGAAACUUAAAGGAAUUGGCGGGGGAGCACA